rnacentral:sRNA from 1 species
GACCUAACCCUCUCAACACUUUGUUGGCAGAUAUGGUUGCAAAAUCCCGAUGAAGAUACUGAACCCCACGUUCAGCGACUCUUCAUCGGGUCACAUCGGGAAACUGGUGUGUGGUCGCAAGACCU